rnacentral:lncRNA from 1 species
UUUUUUUUGCGGGGGGAUAGAGUUUUGCUCUCGUUGCCCAGGCUGGAGUGCAAUGGUGUGAUCUCAGCUCACUGCAACCUCCACCUCCCAGGUACACAAGCGAUUCUCCUGUCUCAGCCUCCCAAGUAGCUCAGAUUACAGGCAUGCACCAUCAUACCUGGCUAAUUUUUUUGUAUUUAGUAGAGAUGGGGUUUCACCAUGUUAGUCAGGCUGGUCGUGAACUCCUGACCUCAGGUGAUCCAUCUGGCUGCUUGAUAUUCUAAGAUUUGAUGCUGGAACUUUGGUGUCAAUGCUCAAAAUGCCCAAAGACACCACUCAACCUCAGUGUCUAUGCACACCCAAGCUUUUGCAGCAGGACAGGUAGAGCAGAGAUGAGUGUGCUACAACAUGCUGGUAGAGGGUACCCCCAAUUGUGCUUGGGGAUUUCCUAUUCCUCAUGGAAAAAUGUGUCUUCCUUAAUUUUUCCCAUAAGAACCACCCUACUUCAUGCCCUGUCUCUCUGUCCAAACACCAGGACAGUCCUCUCACCAGUCUCAACCACCCAAUGGAUUGACAAAGGUGCAAAUAUGAUUCAGUGGAGAAGGCAUUCUCUUGUCAACAAAUUGUGUAGAAACAACUUUUUUUUACACAAUUUGUUUUUUUUAUCCCCAAAGGAAAAAAAUUCACCUGAACCUCAAUACUAACUCAAAAACUAACUCAAAAUGGAUUAUGCAACUAAAUAUAAACUAUAAAACUAGAAAAAGUAUAGCAGAAAAUAUAAGACAAAAUCUUCAUGACACAGAGUUAGGUAAAGUGUUCUUUAUUAUCAAUAAACACAAACCAUUAAAGAAAACAUUGAU